GAUGAACGCUGGCGGCGUGCUUAACACAUGCAAGUCGAACGAGAGAAGAUUGGUGCUUGCACUGAUCCGAUCGAGUGGCGGACGGGUGAGUAACGCGUGGGUAACCUGCCGCAUACAGGGGAAUAACAGUUGGAAACGGCUGCUAAAACCGCAUAAGCGCACAGUAUCGCAUGAUACAGUGUGAAAAACUCCGGUGGUAUGAGAUGGACCGGCGUCGGAUUAGCUAGUUGGUGAGGUAACGGCCCACCAAGGCAACGAUCAGUAGCCGGCCUGAGAGGGUGAACGGCCACAUUGGGACUGAGACACGGCCCAAACUCCUACGGGAGGCAGCAGUGGGGAAUAUUGCACAAUGGGGGAAACCCUGAUGCAGCGACGCCGCGUGAGUGAUGAAGUAUUUCGGUAUGUAAAGCUCUAUCAGCAGGGAAGAUAAUGACGGUACCUGACUAAGAAGCACCGGCUAAAUACGUGUCAGCAGCCGCAGUAA
rnacentral:rRNA from 1 species